AGAAACCUAAUUAAGUACCUAGAUUUGUUAGAAGAUCUCAUUACAGAGGAUUAACCCUCGCAUAAAUGUUUAAUUUGUUUAUCUCAGAUCUUCGCAGCAGUAGCUAACUAAACGAUUGUUUGCUACAUGGUGAUUUGAGUUAGCUGGAGAGCAUGAGUCCUGGAAAAAAAAAUUAAAGUGAGGGUUUUUUACCAAACUGAGAGCAUACAUGACUCCUUUACGUCACCAAUUGUCAGAUUCACCUAUCAUUGUACCGGAUGGUGGCUCAUCUUCUGUGCAUUGCUUAGUGUAUUCAGCUCACGGCGUGAUGAUGCACUCAACCCAUUUGCCAACUGGAGAGUUCUUUUGCAAGGAACUUCUGAGGAGCCACAACUACGGGAUCUAUCUAUUAAAAGACCUAUGUUGUGAAAAAUAUUGUAUGCUUACAUAGAGGAGAUUGAUGAAACUCAGGAACGCAAUAAAAAAAAAGUGUGGUGGCGGCACUUACGGUUCCAAUCCAAGAAGCAUAAAAAGGUUGCAGAGAUAGGACUAUGGCAAUUCAGAAAAGUGACACCAUAUCCGAUUAAUAUACUGAAAGAGAUAUAAAACGAAGAUGAUUUCAAGGGGAGAAAUAUCGAUAUAUUUAUACCUGAAAGUACACCGCCUUGCCGAUGCAAACCAAGCAUUGAAGAUCCGUCGUGGUGGGCUUAUGAAUUAAUGGGAUUAAACACAGUAAAAACCAUAACGCAAUCCGUUUAAGUUGUGAAGAAUCUCAGGCGUCACCGUCGAAGGCAAAAGAGAGAAGAACACAAAU
rnacentral:lncRNA from 1 species